rnacentral:tRNA from 1 species
GGACACGUGGGUGAGCGGCUGAAACCACCUCCUUGCUAAGGAGACAAGCCUUUACGGGCUUCGAGGGUUCGAAUCCCUCCGUGUCCU